CGAACGGAAUCUUUCGGGAUUUAGUGGCGGACGGGUGAGUAACGCGUGAGAAUCUGCCUUCAGGUUCGGGACAACAGCUGGAAACGGCUGCUAAUACCGGAUGUGCCGAGAGGUGAAAGCUUUAGUGCCUGGAGAUGAGCUCGCGUCUGAUUAGCUAGUAGGAGUGGUAAUGGCACCCCUAGGCGACGAUCAGUAGCUGGUCUGAGAGGAUGAUCAGCCACACUGGGACUGAGACACGGCCCAGACUCCUACGGGAGGCAGCAGUGGGGAAUUUUCCGCAAUGGGCGCAAGCCUGACGGAGCAAGACCGCGUGAGGGAAGAAGGUCUGUGGAUUGUAAACCUCUUUUGAUAGGGAAGAAGACAGUGACGGUACCUAUCGAAUCAGCCUCGGCUAACUCCGUGCCAGCAGCCGCGGUAAUACGGAGGAGGCAAGCGUUAUCCGGAAUUAUUGGGCGUAAAGAGUCCGUAGGUGGGUGACCAAGUCAGUUGUUAAAUAGUGAAGCUUAACUUCAUAGAGGCGACUGAAACUGGUCAUCUAGAGUGUGGUAGGGGUAGAGGGAAUUUCCAGUGUAGCGGUGAAAUGCGUAGAUAUUGGAAAGAACACCGGUGGCGAAAGCGCUCUACUGGGCCUGCACUGACACUGAGGGACGAAAGCUAGGGGAGCGAAAGGGAUUAGAUACCCCUGUAGUCCUAGCCGUAAACGAUGGAUACUAGGCGUUGCCCGUAUCGACCCGAGCCGUGCCGAAGC
rnacentral:rRNA from 1 species